CUACGGGAUGCUGCAGUGGGGAAUAUUGCACAAUGGAGGAAACUCUGAUGCAGCAACGCCGCGUGGAGGAUGACACUUUUCGGAGCGUAAACUCCUUUUAUAUAGGAAGAAGAUGACGGUACUAUAUGAAUAAGCGCCGGCUAACUCCGUGCCAGCAGCCGCGGUAAUACGGAGGGCGCAAGCGUUACUCGGAAUCACAGGGCGUAAAGAGCGUGUAGGCGGAUUAAAAAGUCAGAAGUGAAAUCCUAUAGCUUAACUAUAGAACUGCUUCUGAAAUUCUUAAUCUAGAAUAUGGGAGAGGUAGAUGGAAUUUCUGGUGUAGGGGUAAAAUCCGUAGAGAUCAGAAGGAAUACCGAUUGCGAAGGCGAUCUACUAGAACAUUAUUGACGCUGAGACGCGAAAGCGUGGGGAGCAAACAGGAUUAGAUAUCCUUGUAGUC
rnacentral:rRNA from 1 species